UUUUGGAACGUUAUCAUUUUUCUACUUACGCGUUAAAUUAUCGCGUUAAAUUACCGUGUAUCUGAAGGCUACUCUAUAGCGUAAAAGUAACAGAACACUGCAUUUCUAUAUUUCAGUCCCACAAUCCUGCAUCGAUAACGGAUGCGGGACGUGGAAGUUUGCUGAAGCUCUAGUCCUCGAGCACGCGUGAACCCUGGGCAGGAAGAGGUGAACAAUUAACUCUCUCGCAGUCGUGUGGACUGAUAACCUCUGGACUGGACUCACCCUCGCCCUCAACCGGCCGCAGUUCACGAACCGCAGUCUUCACGGACCAGCAGUUCACCUUGGCAGGGUUAAGCACCCAGCAACUCGAGACUCUUGCCGAUGCGCAAUGUAGUUCAAGGAGAUAUUGAGACAAAAGGGCGCCGUGAACUAACCUCAGCAUAAAGCAUUGAUGUUACGUUCAAAUUUUGGUAGCAGAUGAGUGAUGCAACAGACAAGGUGACAGAAAUCAUCUUUUAGUCAGCUGGACCUGUGACUAGCAAGCUGACUCUGCUCAUGUUUAUCACACGCUCCGCACUCUUAUACAAGUGUGAGAUAAACGUUACCACGAGAAAGGCAAAGGCAUAAUAUAUUGUUAAAUAUAAGGAAAUGUGAUUUUUAGUUUAUUAAAGUGUUCAAAACAACUAUCAUCAUGUUUGUGGGGGUUUCGCAUGAUAAAUUUGCUUGCUUUGGAAUAAAGGCAUGUUUUGGGUGUUAUAGGGCAAUAACCCUCCUAAAUGCCCGAGUACUCACCAUGGAGAACGAAAUAAGCCAUGAGGACAAAACUUAAGAUGUCAUCGAAUAGCCUGGUUUACCAAAGACUUGGGCUAUCAAGAGACAGGGGAUUUUUAAAUUUUUGCCUAAACACAAUUCUCUAUCAGCUAUGGGAAGUGUCUAGCUCGACUUUUCAACAAAAUUAAAAUUUAAUUUUGGGGUGAUAUGGAAAGGGACAGAUGUCGGUGGGUGAAUGGUAUAUACAAUAAAUUGGUAGAUUAGUGUUUCCAUACAAAAAACUCAAAUCAUCAGGAUUUAAACAUGCCAUUUAUUAAGACACUAAAACUGAACUAAUUUGUCCGUAAUUAACUCCGUAUUACAUUUUAAUAUACUUAUAAUGACAUACAAGCACACUCUGACCACCUGUUGGUUAUAAAAUAUUCAGAGGGAUGUUUGCGUGAGAACUGUUUCGAUAAGUUUCUACAAGUGUACACAGUACACUGCCCGGGCAUCAUCAUAAAGAAUGGCUCGACUAUGAAUAAACCCUCUGUCUAAGUGGGACCAUCAAGUGUAAUGAACCACCAAGAGGCAGAGGCAGUGCGACGAUAGGGCACACACUGCGAGACGAGUAGCAGAUAGGGCACGAAGACCAGGUCUCUUGCAAACUCAGCCCUCUCGAGGGCUGUUUAACACACACAGCCUACAAGAAACGAUCCCUCCACUGCUCUUUUAUGACAUGAACCCAAUGAAUGCACCUUCAUUACUAGGAAGUGAAUGAAUAGCAAGAAACUGUUCUGUGCUUUAUAAAUUUGAUUAAUUUUUUAAAAUGAAUUAUAUUUAGUUAUACAUGUA